rnacentral:lncRNA from 1 species
ACCACCUCCCCACCAUUGAAAAUGGAGGAGGUGAUUUUGGGGUACAAUUGACUCUGUUCUGCCAACAAUUCCAGCCCACAUUUGUUGAACUAAACAAACUCCUCAUGAUGAAAUUAGGUCCAACUGACUAUGCAAAAAUCAGAGAACAAGUAACAUUUGAACACGUCUUGAAAAAGAAAAAGCUCAGCUCACGCUCAUGCAUGCUGUAGCCACAAAUGUUGCACCCCCUCAUCAGCGUGGUCGUUUCAGAGGAAGAGGAAGAGGAUUCUCUCAGCCCAGGCAACAAAACCUGUGGCAGCAGCCACGUGAACAGGGAUGUUUUCACUGCGGCGACCCAAACCAUUGGGUAAGAGACUGUCCAUUACAACCACAACAGUCAUCACGUGGGCGCGGCUGGUGAAACAGCAGAGGUUACAGAGGAGGAGAGGUAGGAGGUCCAAAUCGUAACCAUCAUCAGGGUUACAAUCAAUAGUCCAACUGGCAGGGCGGGCCAACCGUCACAGCCAUCUGAUUGAAUAGAGGAGAAGGGGGAUUGCGAGGCAGGAGGGGAUGACGUCACCACCACCCCCGACAUCUGAACAAGGAUCCCUAGCUACCUGUCCACCCGCCUACCUGCUACCUGCUACCCACUUCACCCUCUGCCUCCACGAGCUGGAUGUUCUCCGUCCUCCGUCCCCUUUCCCUGGAAACCCCUUCAAUAAACCUCCCACCUAUUGCUCCAAGUUUGUGUCCUGCGUUUGGGUCCUUCCCUUGUUGCACACGUUUUCACAUUAAUGGCAAUGAAGGAUAAAACAAUUACUGACGCAAUAACUUUCCAGAGUUGUAGAAUCAGGUUAAAAAUCACUUUGCAAUGUUUUGAUGUCUGAUAAGCCUUCAAAUCACUCCAAUUAUAUUUUGUGGAACACAGAGUGUGUUAGGAAAGUAAAUCAGUUAUUGUGGGGAGGCUUGCCAGCACUAGUGCUGGUUUGCCUACCCUUUCAAUCACAUGACUCCCAUCUUGCAUAUUGUAGCAGUCCCUUGGGAGUCUCCUGAACUGGAGCUGCUGUAUGGGCUUAUUGUUUCUUUGCAGAGGAGGGACUCGACUGUAGCUUUUAGAGGCACCUUCAGACAGUAGGAAGAGGUGAUCUUUAAACUUGUGAGGUGAACUUAUUUUAAAGAAUUUUACCAAACUAUUAGAUGAGGUUUGGCCAUUCUGAUUGCAGUGUUCUAUGUGUAUUCACAGCCGCAUUAACAUGCAUAUGUCCUAAUCUACAAGAUUUCAUGUUAAUACCAGAUGGAAAUUGAAUCUUUGUCAGAUACCAGCAUUUUUUCACCUAUGACUCCAUGCUUCUCUCUUAGAGAUGAUUUGAUGUUUUUCUUUUGCUGCUACACUUACUAAUUUAACCUGAUAAGAUGCGUGUAACUGAGAAAUAAAGCACUUCAAG